UGUGUUGUGCCUUAUUUUCUUUUUCUCCUCCUAUAGGAGACAUUAAAUAAGCAGCCCGGGCUGGUUGUAUAACGGGGGCUUCAACUCAGCUGAACUCGGGACGCAUCUGGUUCACCGGCUGUGAGGACGCAGUCUGCAGCCGCGUCCUCGUUGAACCGGGCUGGACCGUCGGGGGGACGACGACGACACCAUAACGACGACGAGACAUAAAGGAAGACGAGCCGAGAUGACAUAAAGCCUGCGGACUUGGACUUGGACACCCAGGAGGAAGAGACCAGCCAACUUGAACUCCGGGACCUGUCGGGCAAGUGAGGACACAAGCAGACGUGGAGCCAUUAGACCUCUGAUACUUCAGAACAGAGAGGAUAUGUGGACAUACCGUGUGCAGCUACAGAGGGAUCCAGCACAAUGAACGGCGGGCGAUUCCGGUGCUUAACCCAGGAUAGCUGACGAUCAUCGUGUGUGUGCCAGUUGCCUACAAAGUCUCAGUGGGCUCAUUAUUUCGGCAUUAACCUACUUUAUUUCCCUGAUCACACCUCAGUGUAAAGGCCGAGGAAACCCUAGAGGAGAGCCGACAGACCAGUGAGACCUGAAGCUGCAGAGAGGAGGUGACCUGUCAGGCAGAAGUGACAUCCAGGAAGUAUUCUGAUUUGCAACAAUUAAUGCAUGAAGACAUAAUCUCAGUUUAUGACAUAUAGUUAGAUGUACUCUUUAAAUAUACAAAGCAUUGCAAAUUAAUUAGAAAAAUAAUAAAAACAAAUGUAUCAA